GAUGAACGCUGACAGAAUGCUUAACACAUGCAAGUCGAUGGGGAAGUGGUGCUUGCCCCAUGGCAACCAUGGCGGACGGGUGAGUAACGCGUAAGGGACUUACCUGCAGGACUGGGAUAACAGGGGGAAACUCCUGACAAGACCGGAUAAUGUCAUGGAGCUGCAUGGCUUUAUGAUGAAAGGGUACGCCUGCGGAGAGCCUGGCGUCCUAUUAGCUAGUUGGUGAGGUAAUGGCUCACCAAGACGAAGAUAGGUAGCCGGCCUGAGAGGGUGGACGGCCACAAGGGGACUGAGAGACGGCCCUUACGCCUACGGGAGGCAGCAGUGGGGAAUAUUGGACAAUGGGGGCAACCCUGAUCCAGCAAUUCUGUGUGCACGAAGAAGGUUUUCGGAUUGUAAAGUGCUUUCAGAAGGGAAGAAGUAAGUGACGGUACCUGAAGAAGAAGCGACGGCUAAAUACGUG
rnacentral:rRNA from 1 species